rnacentral:rRNA from 1 species
UUCCGUUAGGGGAACCUGCGGAAGGAUCAUUACCGAGUUCUCGAGCUUCGGCUCGACUCUCCCACCCUUUGUGAACACACCUCUGUUGCCUCGGCGGCCGCUCCGGCCGCCGAAGGACCUUCAAACUCCAGUCAGUAAACGCAGACGUCUGAUAAACAAGUCAAUAAACUAAAACUUUCAACAACGGAUCUCUUGGUUCUGGCAUCGAUGAAGAACGCAGCGAAAUGCGAUAAGUAAUGUGAAUUGCAGAAUUCAGUGAAUCAUCGAAUCUUUGAACGCACAUUGCGCCCCUUGGUAUUCCGAGGGGCAUGCCUGUUCGAGCGUCAUUACAACCCUCAAGCUCUGCUUGGUAUUGGGCUCCGUCCUCACUGCGGACGCGCCUCGAAGACCUCGGCGGUGGCUGUUCGGCCCUCAAGCGUAGUAGAAUACACCUCGCUUUGGAGCGGUCGGCGUCGCCCGCCGGACGAACCUUCUGAACUUUUCUCAAGGUUGACCUCGGAUCAGGUAGGGAUACCCGCUGAACUUAAGCAUAUCAAUAAGGCGGAGGGAUCAUUACCGAGUUCUCGAGCUUCGGCUCGACUCUCCCACCCUUUGUGAACACACCUCUGUUGCCUCGGCGGCCGCUCCGGCCGCCGAAGGACCUUCAAACUCAGUCAGUAAACGCAGACGUCUGAUAAACAAGUCAAUAAACUAAAACUUUCACAACGGAUCUCUUGGUUCUGGCAU